UGAUGUAAGUGUCUCAAGUAUAAAUUGCGUUUGUGCUCGCGCAAAUUAGCCCUUUAUACUUUUUGACACGCCGAACACCGAAAACGAAAUAUAAUGGUGUGUACACGCCCUUUUAUUUCGUGUUCGGUGUUCGAGGAUAGCGGGAAUUGCGUAUGCCUGGAGCAAUCCGGUUACAUCA
rnacentral:sRNA from 10 species